rnacentral:tRNA from 1 species
UCCCUGGUAGUCCAGCUAGUAGGACUCCACACUUCCAAUGCAGGGUGCCCAGGUUUGAUCCCUGGUUGGGGAA